rnacentral:piRNA from 1 species
UAAAUUUGGAAUAUUGCUAAU